GGGAAAUGCUGGCGCGGCUCUCCACUAGCCAGUGAGGUCCAGGGUCACGCCGAGAGGCCGGAGGGGACUCCAGGAAGCCUCGAGAAGACGGCCCCGGGCCGCGGCCACUUCUCCGCGGGGAAGUGGACACCUACUUUGCGACCCGGCUUGCGCGGAGCCCCCUCCGGGGUCGCGAGCGUGGGGGUGCGUGGAUGGCACUCUGCGAUGGCGCAUCCACAGAGCUGAGGACGUGGAGGGCGAGCAGAGCUGCGGCGCCCGCGCCGGGGCGGGGGCCUGCGGGGCGGUCCUGCCUUCUGGACUGCGACUCGGGGCUGCGGGAGGCCCUGCACCGCUCGGCCGCCCGGCCCAGUCCUCCUACCUCUCCGCUCACUUUGCCGCCCCAGCUUCUCCCCUCCCCCCGCAUCCCUGUCCCCUGGCUUCUCUCUGCGACGCCUUUGCCCGAGUAAGAAAUUCAGCUGAGCGCAAUCGGAACUGUACUCAGGCAGAUACAAUCGCCGCAGCCCCCGGGGGCGCUCGCAUUGGAGAGGCGAUGCGGGUGGCGCCCAGGAGGCUGGGUGCGGGGAAGAAGGGGGCGUUCGUUUGCAAUUCGCCUCCCCAGGGCGUGAGCUAGGGUGUCCCCUUCUCUCCAGUUGGGGGGCUUGGGUCCGGACAACGAGGCCUGGCUGCCCGGGCGGGCGGGGCGGGGCGCCUGGGGCUCCGCAGCGACACGGUGGGGGCGCGGGCUCUCUGCCCUGCGGCGGCGCCGGGAAACCCCUUCCUCUGCGGCGGGUCCCUGGGGAUUCUGGGCGAGGCGAAGGCGACGUGGAUUCUCCUCCCCCUCACGCCUGCCUCUCCCACCCUCUUCCCCGAGACCUCGGAGGUGGCCGAAAAGUGGGAAGGGAGGCGAGCACACGGACAGAGAAGGCCUGGGAGCGGGAGAUCGCGAGCUGGGGGAUUCGGGGUCGGGAAGGGAGCAUCAGGGCGCGAAGGAAGGGGCCUUGGGGCGAGGAGGACCCAGAUGGAGAGGUGGUGGUGGGGAGAAGCGAGCGAGAGUCCUUUCCCUUCCGAGUGGCGCAGGGGGACCUCUUCCCCGGGGAACCCCCACCCAGCAGCUCCCAGCCUCAAGAACAAAGGGUCUGGGAGGCACGGUCGGGGUCGGGAGCGGAGGUGGAGGGAGGCAGGAAGGCAAGCGGUGGGGGCAGGGGAGGGCGCCUCCCGCAUUUCCUCUGGCGGCCCUAUGACGGAAAGCUCCCUGCAGCAAACGCCUCACGGAGGCCGCUUCAAAUCCGGGAGGGCUCGGGUUCCUUACCUAACGGUUGCCCUCCCUCCCUUCCUCCCCCAGCGUCCCCACCCCCUCCGGGGACCGAGGCCCGGGAGCUGCAAGGCCGGCAGCGGCCGCGGCGCGGGCGGAACCGCGGGGCAGCAGCGCCUCCUGCAGGUGCCGGGCGCCCCCGCAGCCGCCGCGCCGCGCCGACUCUUAAGGUGGAACCAGCCCCGUUCCCCACCCGCGCGUUCGCCUCUCCCGCAACCGUGUUCCACCGGCUGCGAGUCUCCGCGCAGAAGCGGGCCUGACUGUCCAGAACGGUCGGUGUCUGCUGGUCCCUGCUGCUGUCUCCUUAAUCCCUUGGCCCUGCUCCCUGCAGGACCUCUCCGGGGAUGCCCCGGUAUCGAUUUCGACAGUUACAGCUGAUGAUUCCCCGUUGGUUUUAAAGGAUGCAUAAAGUCACGCGUCAGGGUGGAAAGACCAAAACGGCGUUUUUUUAACCUGAAAGCAAACUUUAUUUUCGUUUAUUAAAAGCAGAAAGCCAGCAGGAAAGCGUCGCCGAGGGUCUGUCCACGGAUCUUUCGGAUCCAAGUGUUCGGGAUGAGACUGGCCGAUCCGGGAAUCGCAUCCGGCGCCCACACCCCGCAAACUCGUGGGCAGUUGCGGGUGCAAGAGGCCGCGGAGGGGCGACGCGCCCGCGGGAACCCCUCCUUGCGCAUCUCCGGCGCCCCAGCUUCAGCCUAUUCUCGCCCGGACCCUUGGUUUAUUUGGUGAAAUCUGGGAACGUGGAGAGGAUAGAAGAGCAGUUUUUCUUUCUUUCCUUUUUUCUUUUUAACUAAAUGUGCGUGUUAACUCAUCGUUUCUUGGAUAUAAGUGUCCUCAGCGAAUUCUGGAUUCUUGGGGAAAACCUACGAGCACUGAGCAGGACAGGAACACGCCAACUUUGGUUCCAGUGCCAUCUGCAGUAAAUUCCUUUGCUUUGCUCUUCCCUCCUCCGUGUCCUGGAGAUGGAGGCCCCCGGGGGCUGCCCCAGGACACCAGCACACCCAGGACCUGGAGCCGGAGAGUAGAGCUGAGGGCGGGGAGGGCGCGGGGGAGGGGAGGCGGGCUGCAGGCCCCGGGCGUGGAGUUUACCUGCACCGUGGGAACCUCCCUUCCCCCGGGCGCGCAGCCCUGGCUCCGCCCUGCGGGGCCCCGCCCCAGGGAAGCCGGGGCCGCUGUCGGGCCGCCGCAGGGGAAGCUCGCCUGCGCAGGUGUCGCAGGGUCACACCCGCCCCGGGGGUUGCAAACCGCAAGCGAAAGUCGAGAGGGGCUGGAGCUUUUCCUCUAAUCCGUUUUACACUGUGAAAACCGCAAAGCUGUCGCCUAGGCGGCCACUUUUUAAUUGGGAGGCAAACAGACGAAACGCCAAAACAAAUGCGCAAGCUGACUUUCUUUCCGGAUGGUUUUCCUUCUCAACGAAACGCCCGCUCUCUGGUGAAAGGGAGGCCGAUCUGCGCUCACGUUUGCUCGCUUCGGGGCCUGGCCUGGGGCGCACGGGAGCCCGCGCCCCCAGCGCGUGGGGCAGAUCGGACUGCACCCCUCUCCCGGCGCUUUUCCCCCAGCCUCGGUCGUCCCCCGCGUCCCUCCUCGCCAUCCGCUCCAUGCACGCCCCAUCCCGCAAGCUCCACGCAAGCUUUCUCGCUCGCGCUGCAGAGCAGAUGUGGGUGCUUGGGUGUUGGGGGCUCCGAGCGCGUUGAAUUGGCUCCGAUUCAGAUUCCUCCCAGGGCGGGAAGAGUAGGGGUUUGGGCCGCCAAUCCCGGGGCUCGGAGACCUCCAAGCUGACCAGAAGAAGCACUUGCAGUCGCGCUUCAAGUCUCGCAGUUUUCCCUGGGGAAAAGCAGAAGUUGGUGGACACACUGCACGGCGCCAGAGCAAACUCUGAACUUACCGCGCGCCCUGCUGGGGUGCUCAGCCCCUCGGGGGAACCCCAGAGAAGCGAGGAGAGCAGGGAGGUGGGGAGGCCGCCCAGGUCAGGCGGGCCGAGUCCCAGGAUUGUGGGUGUCCCCCUCCCACGUUGAUCUGUUAAGGGUCCUACGUGGAAAAUCAUUUUUAAUCAAACUGUGAUGGUGGAGGUACAAAGAGGGAAGGAAGACAAAAGAAAGGAGACCUUAUUUAAGAAGGAAAACUAGGAAAAAUGGAGUGGUCAAACUGUGGAGAGGGAGGGAAGGAAAGAAGAAUGGAGAAGGCUUUCCUUCUUUGUUCUAUAAAAGCCCUAGCACUUUCUUUGAAAAUCAAAGUACGGAGAGGCUGUCCUUCUUGGAGCAUGGUUAUGUAAGUGAGAGACACUGCGCGUUAGUUCACCUUUAAAGCAUUUGCUGGGUGGAGUAAAGUUUUUAGAAGGUUCUUUCUCGCCCGGCCCCUGUUUGAAGCUCAACUCAUUUUGAUUUAAAGCAGAUUUGAGAUAAAAAUUUCAGAAGAGAAACUGUGUGUAUACAUAUAUGCAGAUGCAGCAGAGUUUGUAUUCCCUUUAGUUUAUUUCUAAGAGGUUCUAUAGUAAAUUGUAUAUGAUGGCUGGUAUAUUUUUUUCUAAUAUUGUAUUGUCACCCGAGAGAAGAGUCCAGAGUUAUCUUUCUCUCCGCUUCCCUUUAAUAAAUCUCCUAAGAGAGAGAACUCUCAUAUGAUCGUGGCUCUUUUCCUCUCUUUCUGGUUUGCUAUCUUUCCCACACAUGAACACACAAACACACAAUAUACAUCACGCGCAGACUUUGCCCUGAUCAGCCUGUAAAGUAUGAUAUAUAAAUUCAUGCCCCUGUUUUCAGUUUCCCCUGAAGUUUAGAACACUGUCGAGGGUCUCCUUUUGUUCCUCCCCAUGUGUGUGCUUCAUCAGGGAUGUCUGGUAAACCAACACAACAGUCAUCUUUGCUUUGAGUUUGUUUGUGAUUAAAUGGAAAAUAACAUUAAUAAACGGUUUAAAUGGUAUUUUUUUAUAGCAAAGUAUUAACAAGUAAUAAAAUGAACAGUAGUUGUUCCAAAUCUUCAGACUGAUGGCUUCCCAUUGGCAGUCAUAUUUUGGCAAAAGUAUUUCAUAUUAAUUGAAAAUGACUAAAACAGUGCAUGCAUUCCGUUAAGAGAGGCUAACUCACUGAGCUUUACCUCCAGCAGCUUAAACUAUCCAGUUCAAAUUACUUAAGUAAUUCCUACUGAAGGAGGGGUUGGGAAAUCAGGAACUGUGGAAUAAUUUGUGCUUUUGGUCUUUUCAUGAAGCUUUAAUUAAAUCUGAUUUCUGUGAAAACUAAAACUAAAACAAUACGAUAACCCCUUAAGUGGCCUUGUAGAAUAAUAUGCGAUUCUUAUAAAAAAAUGUGUGCCCACUAUAUUUGGUGAAACUAGAUGAAUACAAAUAUAACUAUUAAGUUGUUUUUCCAGUGAUUUUUCUCUCUCAAAUGUUAGACAUGUAGGACUCCAGAACAUGCACUUUAAUGUGUUCUGAUAAUAAGAAAACCGUUGCUGGUUUUCUCAGAGGAGCACAGCUAUCUAGGGGCCAUGCCACAAUCAUUAGAUCAACACCGUCUUUCCUGUCACAUCAUCGUCUACAUGAAAUUCCAUUUUAGGAAAUAUGCAAGAAUAUUACAUUUGUUUCAGAAGCUUGAAAAUACAAUAGAAUUUGAAGUAUUGAAAAAUGUGAUUCUUAGUUGACGGUAUCUUAGAAGUUGCAGGGGUAUCUCUUUUUGAGAUGACUUUAAUAAUGACACUUUAAUAAUGUUGCAAAGUAAGGAAAGAUUUCAAUAGCAGGCAAGAUGUGAUGAAUGGACACAAGGAACAAUGAAGCUAUUGACAAAACAUGCCAACUUUUAGAAUUCUAUCUAAAUUAUUAUUUUUCCUUACAGUGCAGAGAAAGACACCCAAGUACAUCAAUGUUCAUCAGAUGCAGGGUGAUAGAAAUGUGAGCGACAAUUAAUGGACUGUGCUUGUAGUAUGAUUGUUAGUGUAGGUGUGAGAGUACAUGGAGACAUUUUUUCCUGCUUAAAAAACGUCUGUGGUCUUCGGCUGAAAUAGGGGAAGUUUAUAGAAAAUUGAGGCCAAGGAAGAGAAGAGGGAAAGAAGGCUGAAAAGAGAAUAAAGCAAAUUCAGUAAUUAAAAAACGAUUUGUUUUCUAUUUUAGAUUUGACUUUCGUCAAUUGUUCCUGCCAGCUAUUUCGAUGAAAUAAAUGGAAUGUCGCUUAACAGGCAGAUGCUUUGAUACAUUUUCUUCUUAAAGGAUCUGAUUCCUGGCGUCCAAAGGAAACUGGAAUUUAAGAAAAUAACAGAAUGCGGAAUCUCAACAGUUGUUUUAAUGGCGGCUAGUUCGUCCCGUUCCAGAAGGCACAAUCCUUCGCCAUGGGACUUUGCUGCUCCCAUCCAGACGUGGAAUCUCUUCUCCACCCCCUGUAAUGCGGGCUGGCCUUUGUGACUGACUUUGACAAAUUUGAUAUAGUGGAACUGAUGUUUUCUAGUUCUGGAAUUGAGGCCUCAAGAAGCUUUGUGGCUGCCACCUUUGUCCUCUUGGAACGCCAUGCCACGCAGAAGCCCGGGAUGAAAGGUCAGGAGGAAGACGGAGGGACGCAGCUGUCUCUGCUGUUCGCUGAGUCCAGCUCCCCGCACCCCACUGAAUGCUGUCACACACAUGAGCCCAGGCAAAGUUGGCACAAAAAGCACACAGCCAACAGAGUCAUGAAAAAUAAAAAAAAAUCCUUGCUGUUUUAAGCCAGUAAGCUUUGAGGUGGUUUGUUAUAUAGCAAUAGUAACCAUACUUGUCUUGUUAUCUGCAAUUAUUUCAAUUGUAUAAAAUUGAGAGAGAAUUUGUUGAUAUGUCAGGUGUCUAAAUUGUGAUCAAAUCAAAGAGCUCUCAGUUUUUUGGUUUUUUUUUUUUUUUUUUUGAGUAAGAUUAGCCCUGAGCUAACAUCUGCUGCCAAUCCUCCCCUUUUUGCCGAGGAAGACUGGCCCUGAGCUAAAAUCUGUGCCCAUCUUCCUCUACUUUAUAUGUGGGAUGCCUACCACAGCAUGGCUUGCCAAGUGGUGCCGUGUGUGCACCUGGGAUCCGAACCGGCGAACCCCAGACCGCCAAAGCAAAUGUCGGAACUUAACCGCUGCGCCACUGGACCGCCCCGAGCUCUCACUAUUUUAAGAGCCUGAGUUAGCAUAUGUGAAGCCACCACGGGGGCCCAAGGUUACUAUGUGUGAUUGUUAUCAUGAUGUUGAUCCCUGAGGUUGGUGAGAUUUAAGAAAGUCACAUUAUUUUAUAUCAUCCCUACGGCAAUGCAGUGAAGCAGGCAGGGUGGUUAUUAUGUUCAUUUUGAAGAUGGAGAAACAGGUUCAGGACAGCCACAGAAGUGUUGAGACCAACAGGCUUGAGAAUGCAUAUCCCUGAGGAGAUGUCAAUGAACCUCAUUUUUCUCACUUGGAAGAUGAAGGGAUUGUAUCAGAGGAUUCCUGAAGUCCCGUUAGCCACGCCAGACGUCUCAGC
ensembl:lncRNA